CCUACGGGAGGCAGCAGUGGGGAAUCUUGCGCAAUGGGCGAAAGCCUGACGCAGCAACGCCGCGUGCGGGAAGAAGGCUUUCGGGCUGUAAACCGCUUUCAGCAGGAACGAAAAUGACGGUACCUGCAGAAGAAGGAGCGGCCAACUAUGUGCCAGCAGCCGCGGUGAUACAUAGGCUUCAAGCGUUGUCCGGAUUUAUUGGGCGUAAAGAGUUCGUAGGCGGUCAAGUAAGUCGGGUGUGAAAAUUCUGGGCUCAACCCAGAGACGCCACCCGAUACUGCUUAACUUGAGUUCGAUAGGGGAGUGGGGAAUUCCUAGUGUAGCGGUGAAAUGCGCAGAUAUUAGGAGGAACACCGGUGGCGAAGGCGCCACUCUGGAUCGAUACUGACGCUGAGGAACGAAAGCAUGGGUAGCAAACAGGAUUAGAUACCCUGGUAGUCCAUGCCGUAAACGGUGGGCACUGGGUGUGGGUUUCUAUUAACGAAAUCCGCGCCGUCGCUAACGCAUUAAGUGCCCCGCCUGGGGAGUACGGUCGCAAGACUAAAACUUAAAGGAAUUGACGG
rnacentral:rRNA from 1 species